AUGAACGCUAGCUACAGGCUUAACACAUGCAAGUCGAGGGGCAGCAUGGUCUUAGCUUGCUAAGGCCGAUGGCGACCGGCGCACGGGUGAGUAACACGUAUCCAACCUGCCGUCUACUCUUGGACAGCCUUCUGAAAGGAAGAUUAAUACAAGAUGGCAUCAUGAGUCCGCAUGUUCACAUGAUUAAAGGUAUUCCGGUAGACGAUGGGGAUGCGUUCCAUUAGAUAGUAGGCGGGGUAACGGCCCACCUAGUCUUCGAUGGAUAGGGGUUCUGAGAGGAAGGUCCCCCACAUUGGAACUGAGACACGGUCCAAACUCCUACGGGAGGCAGCAGUGAGGAAUAUUGGUCAAUGGGCGAGAGCCUGAACCAGCCAAGUAGCGUGAAGGAUGACUGCCCUAUGGGUUGUAAACUUCUUUUAUAAAGGAAUAAAGUCGGGUAUGGAUACCCGUUUGCAUGUACUUUAUGAAUAAGGAUCGGCUAACUCCGUGCCAGCAGCCGCGGUAAUACGGAGGAUCCGAGCGUUAUCCGGAUUUAUUGGGUUUAAAGGGAGCGUAGAUGGAUGUUUAAGUCAGUUGUGAAAGUUUGCGGCUCAACCGUAAAAUUGCAGUUGAUACUGGAUAUCUUGAGUGCAGUUGAGGCAGGCGGAAUUCGUGGUGUAGCGGUGAAAUGCUUAGAUAUCACGAAGAACUCCGAUUGCGAAGGCAGCCUGCUAAGCUGCAACUGACAUUGAGGCUCGAAAGUGUGGGUAUCAAACAGGAUUAGAUACCCUGGUAGUCCACACGGUAAACGAUGAAUACUCGCUGUUUGCGAUAUACAGCAAGCGGCCAAGCGAAAGCGUUAAGUAUUCCACCUGGGGAGUACGCCGGCAACGGUGAAACUCAAAGGAAUUGACGGGGGCCCGAACAAGCGGAGGAACAUGUGGUUUAAUUCGAUGAUACGCGAGGAACCUUACCCGGGCUUAAAUUGCAGAUGAAUUACGGUGAAAGCCGUAAGCCGCAAGGCAUCUGUGAAGGUGCUGCAUGGUUGUCGUCAGCUCGUGCCGUGAGGUGUCGGCUUAAGUGCCAUAACGAGCGCAACCCUUGUUGUCAGUUACUAACAGGUUCCGCUGAGGACUCUGACAAGACUGCCAUCGUAAGAUGUGAGGAAGGUGGGGAUGACGUCAAAUCAGCACGGCCCUUACGUCCGGGGCUACACACGUGUUACAAUGGGGGGUACAGAGGGCCGCUACCACGCGAGUGGAUGCCAAUCCCAAAAACCUCUCUCAGUUCGGACUGGAGUCUGCAACCCGACUCCACGAAGCUGGAUUCGCUAGUAAUCGCGCAUCAGCCACGGCGCGGUGAAUACGUUCCCGGGCCUUGUACACACCGCCCGUCAAGCCAUGGGAGCCGGGGGUACCUGAAGUGCGUAACCGCGAGGAGCGCCCUAGGGUAAAACUGGUGACUGGGGCU
rnacentral:rRNA from 1 species